ACGGGGCGCGAUUCACAUCUCAACCGAAAUAUUUGUAAAGCGAUACGAACGAGUUACGAGAUGAAAUCCGCAAUGUUUAAAAACGCGAUUCAUAGCACACAUACUUUGAUCUCGUUUUCAUAUCGCUAGUUCGUAUUUGGAUGGCUUGAGUGAAAUGAAUGAAACUAUAUUUUUUUUAAUUGCCAUGCAAAAAUUAUAAAUACUACCACUAAUUGUUUUAAAUAAUUUUGUUCCUACAAUAUAUUUUGUUGGAAUUAGUGUCGAUAGCAAGUAUCAAGAAUCAGCUUUUUAAUUCAACGUUGAAGAAAUUCAUAACCUGUGGCACUUUUGACAGCCGCCAUGUUUUCUCCAUAAAAACAUUGAUUUUCUUUGCUCAUUUUCGUGUCAACGUAGUUUUUUUGGAAAAUAAGAAAAAAGGAAGUUUAACUUACUUAGAGAAAUACGACUGAGACAUGUAAGUAUCAAUGUAUUAACCUAUUUUUUUUGAAAUAUAAAUGUUACCGGUUGUAGUCAAGAAGGUAUUGUAAUUUACGAUGUAUCCAAUUUCUGUUUUGAAUUGUUUUAGAAACACAAGCAGCAGCCGAUGUGCUUGAGUUGCAGAAGGAGCAACUGCGUUGUGAGAGGGCCACGGCUUCAGCCCUCACAAUGAUAGCUGAUUAGCUGAAGUAAUGAACAGACAGGCUGCAGUCAAUGAGAGGCUUCUUGAGGAGGGGUUCCUCAUAUGGAAAAAGAUUUUAGCGGCGACGCAGUUGCGCGACCAGUGAAGCUCUGGCUCCGCGACCGGCGUGGAGCGCGCGGUCAGCGCGGCGCUGCUGCGGCUGCUGCGCGGGAGGAUCCCGUCCCUGCGCAUGCGCCUGGCCUUCAAUGACCUCACGCCUCUCUUCUUCCUCUUCUUCAUGCGUCAAUUCAAACAGAGGAGCACCUGUGAUUACUGAUUACCUAAGUUCCUAUAUACAAUAA